rnacentral:rRNA from 1 species
UAGGGAAUCUUCGGCAAUGGGGGCAACCCUGACCGAGCAACGCCGCGUGAGUGAAGAAGGUUUUCGGAUCGUAAAGCUCUGUUGUAAGUCAAGAACGGGUGUGAGAGUGGAAAGUUCACACUGUGACGGUAGCUUACCAGAAAGGGACGGCUAACUACGUGCCAGCAGCCGCGGUAAUACGUAGGUCCCGAGCGUUGUCCGGAUUUAUUGGGCGUAAAGCGAGCGCAGGCGGUUUGAUAAGUCUGAAGUUAAAGGCUGUGGCUCAACCAUAGUUCGCUUUGGAAACUGUCAAACUUGAGUGCAGAAGGGGAGAGUGGAAUUCCAUGUGUAGCGGUGAAAUGUGUAGAUAUAUGGAGGAACACCGGUGGCGAAAGCGGCUCUCUGGUCUGUAACUGACGCUGAGGCUCGAAAGCGUGGGGAGCGAACAGGAUUAGAUACCCUGGUAGUCCACGCCGUAAACGAUGAGUGCUAGGUGUUGGAUCCUUUCCGGGAUUCAGUGCCGCAGCUAACGCAUUAAGCACUCCGCCUGGGGAGUACGACCGCAAGGUUGAAAC